UGCUACAGUUGACUGCCCAUGAAACAGGUUCAUCCGCAUUUCGGGAAUAAGUAGGUCAGACCAACCUAAACAACAGAGCACUAGCUUUAGUGUACCACUACAGGUUAUAACGUAGCCAGGGCGUGUCACAUCAAUAUCCACACCGACACACAGGUUCAGCCAUCUUCCUCGAUGGAUAAUACAUCUAAGCAGAGAGUCACGACGCAGUGGGAUCAGUCCAACGCCAAACCGAACGGACAACCGCACACACAGCCUACCGGGCAGCCGUCAAUCUACAACCCUGACGACUAUGACAGCAUAGUUGGCGACCACUUGAAACUGGGGUUCCUCAUCGUCUUCCCACUGGCCUUCUUCCUGAUGACCAUCAUUCUGAUGGCGAUCUACAGUGACGACUUUGACAAACCGAAGAUGUAAUAAAGACUGAAGAAGAACAUAACUGACAUGUCAUAUUAGACUGAACUUGCAAACACGGUGUACUGUACCUCGUGACGUCAUCUCACAAACGUAGUUUACCCCGUGUUCUCAGAUGUGUACUGUCGUAUUCCUGCUAAGCAUGCGCACCGCAUUUGUACAUACAGGUGUGUAGUGAAAGGAGCACUUUUAAAAAGUUCAUUUACAAGAUCUACUCGGAUGUUAUAGUGUUUUUCAUGUUAAACAUUAUUACAGAAAUAGUCACAAAUGUAGAUGGGAGAUAUUUAGAGAAUCGUACUCAACGAGCUACAAGGCAAUACCGUUUAUAAUUCACGAGUGCAAGAUAAACGGUAUUGCCGUGUAGCGAGUUGGGUAUUGCUACUCAGUAUCAAUCUUUUAUCUUGUGGAAGAUUUUCAAACGAUACUUUUAUUGAAAACAGGUUUGUAAGUUGAGAACAUAUUGAGUUGUAAUAGCCACCACUUCUCUCUGCCCAUAUAUGGGUAUUGAGUUGUAAUAGCCACCACUUGUCUCUGCUCAUAUGGGUAUUGAGUUGUAAUAGCCACCACUUGUCUCUGCCCAUAUAUGGGUAUUGAGUUGUAAUAGCCACCACUUGUCUCUGCCCAUAUAUGGGUAUUGAGUUGUAAUAGCCACCACUUCUCUCUGCCCAUAUGGGUAAUGAGUUGUAAUAGCCACCACUUCUCUCUGCCCAUAUGGGUAAUGAGUUGUAAUAGCCACCACUUCUCUCUGCCCAUAUGGGUAAUGAGUUGUAAUAGCCACCACGCUUUCCAUAUAAAACUAUUUUACAUCUGAAUGUAACACCACCCAAACACUCGCAACCAGCUGUACUUUUGGAUGCUCUUUAUAGCUGCUCGAUAGCCCGAGUACUCUGCUGUUUAAGAGCUUGGCGGACUUUUGGACGGUUAUGAUCAUAAUGUCCCUCUAGCUCUCGAACGGCAGAGUACUCGGGAUAGCUGGUCGACAGAUACUUUGGACUUGGAACGGUGGAAUCUUACAUAUGCAGGUAUCAGUAAUUUUUUUCUUCCAUCCCUAAAUAUAUAAGAUGGACAUAUUCCAUGUUUGGACCCUAUACACCUGUCUUGGUUUACAACGUGUCAUACAACGGAUCUUUAUGACCACGUCCAGAAAAGCCGAUACUUCACUUCAAACGUGCAGAUGACUUCACCGUAUAUUUAUGGGACAGGUCUAUUUUAAUGAUUUUAAACAGAACUAGACUUAAUCAUAUGUCAUCUCAAACUGGGGUUUAUAUUUUAUUAUAAGCCAUUCUUAAUAUCUUUCUACAGAUAAUUAUUAUAAAGUUAUAAACGUUUGUAUAAAAUUAGAGAGAAAAUUUUCGCCAUGUUCAAGGGGAAAACAUAAAUGUUUCAGUCAACUGAUUUAACGUGUUUACAUCCAAUUAAAGUUCAAACACGCUCGUUGUGGGCACACUCUCUGACAUAGCCAGAAUCUGCACUGAAGACGAGCGGAAUCUUUGCACGUGAACCGAUGUGGGGUAAUGCUAUUCCACCCUAGCAUGCAUGCUCUUUUACGUCAGAAGCUCAGCAAGCCUAGUCCUUGACGAAACGUGUACCCUCUUGUGGGAUAGUUAACACUUUUCUCUCUUAUAGACCGGCUUCAGAAUGAGCUAAGUGCCACCCGGAGAGAACAUUAUGUAGACCUAUUUUUUUGUAUUCCUAAUCAUAUAUAUUAACAAAAACGUUUUGGUAAAUGGUCUUCUGGUGGUGGGUGUGGCAAAUAUGGGGUUCAAAGUGGGACCCCCAACCAAAAGCAGGGUCGUCUACUAAUAGCACUAUUGGGAGAGCAAACAACUGGGAGAACCUUUUAAAUGAUGAUAGAAACAUCAAACUUGGCAUACAUGAUCUCCCUGGGGCGUUCGUCAAAUCCAAUCAAAGAAUCACUUGAAUUUUCAAGAAGGUCGCUAUACUGUCCUACCAAUGUUCAUUAUUGAGAUAUAUUUUAAUAGUUUUUCAAUAUUAGUCAUUUUAUAUUAUUUUUAUAUGUUUAGAAACAUGCUGAACCUAACGUCUGAUAUGUGCAAAAAGUCUGAUGAUGGGAGUGCCAAAUAUUGGGGGUCAGUGUAUGGCAAUCUCCAUAAAACAUGGUCAUCUACUAUUAGCACUACUAGCAGAGCAAUAACAGAAAUGACCUUUUAAAUUGUGAUACAAGCAUGCAACUUUACACAGAUGAGGUCUUUGGGGAAUUCUUCAAAUUCAGUCAAUGAGUAACUUGAAAUAUUAAUAUGGCGGUAAUUGUUCAAGAUGGCCGCCAUUUUUUUCCAACCAUUGUCUGUUAUUGACAUGUAUAAUAAUACCUUGUCUGUUUUUAGCUAUGUCGGUGACUUUUUAUGCACUGGUAUUUAAAAGCAUGCUGAAAGUAAUUAUAUUUAAAAUACAAUCAAAAUUAAUGAUUUUGUUCAAAACGUUUGCCAUAUUUCCAGCAAACAUAGUCACCAGCUACAAUAGAAGAACAGAAGCUGGUACCAGUAUACCGUAUUCCAUAAACAAACCACUUUAUGAUCAAACAUGCACAGAUGAUUUCCUUGGGACAUUCUUCAAAUCCAAUCAAUGAACCACUUGAAUUGUCAAUAAUAUGGUGGCCAUUUUAUUCCACCAAUGUCCAUUAUUAACAUUAAUAAAGUUGGCAGACUUU